UGAAUACGAGACGCUAAGGCGUCGAAGUAGUGUAUGUCAUACUUCCAAGAAAAGCUUGCACUGUCAUAGAUAAAAAACGCCUGUACCAUAACCGACACAGGUGGGUAGGUAGAGUAUACUAAGGGGCGCGAGAUAACUCUCUCUAAGGAACUCGGCAAAAUAACUCCGUAACUUCGGGAGAAGGAGUGCCUUAUUAUUAAGGCUGCAAUAACAAGAUCCAAGCAACUGUUUAUCAAAAACACAGGUCUCCGCUAAGUCGUAAGACGAUGUAUGGGGGCUGACGCCUGCCCAGUGCCAGAAGGUUAAAGAAGUUGGUUAGCAUUUGCGAAGCUGAUAACUGAAGCCCUGGUGAACGGCGGCCGUAACGAUAACGGUCCUAAGGUAGCGAAAUUCCUUGUCGGGUAAGUUCCGACCCGCACGAAAGGCGUAAUGAUUUGGAUACUGUCUCGGAGAGGGGCUCGGUGAAAUAGACUUGUCUGUGAAGAUGCGGACUACCUGCACCAGGACAGAAAGACCCUAUGAAGCUUUACUGUAACUUGAAAUUGAAAUUGGACUUUAUUCGCGCAGCAUAGGUGGGAGGCGUUGAUUAUAAUCUUGUGGGAUUAUUGGAGCCAUCAGUGAGAUACCACUCUUGUAAUGUUAGAUUUCUAACUUUGAAUCAUUAUCUGGUCAAAGAACAGUUUCAGGCGGGCAGUUUGACUGGGGCGGUCGCCUCCUAAACGGUAACGGAGGCGUACAAAGGUUUCCUCUGAACGGUUAGAAAUCGUAUCUAGAGUGUAAAGGCAUAAGGAAGCUUGACUGUGAGACCUACAAGUCGAGCAGGGACGAAAGUCGGUCUUAGUGAUCUGACGGUACUGAGUGGAAAGGCCGUCACUCAACGGAUAAAAGUUACUCUAAGGAUAACAGGCUGAUCUCCCCCAAGAGUUCACAUCGACGGGGAGGUUUGGCACCUCGAUGUCGGCUCAUCGCAUCCUGGGGCGGUAGUACGUCCCAAGGGUUGGGCUGUUCGCCCAUGAAAGCGGUACGCGAGCUGGGUUCAGAACGUCGUGAGACAGUUCGGUCCAUAUCCGGUGUAGGCGUUAGAAUAUUGAGAGGAGCCUUCUUUAGUACGAGAGGACCGAGAAGGACAUACCUCUGGUGUACCAGUUAUCGUGCCAACGGUAAACGCUGGGUAGCUAUGUAUGGAGUGGAUAACCGCUGAAAGCAUCUAAGUGGGAAGCCCACCUCAAGAUAAGUAUUCUCAUC
rnacentral:rRNA from 1 species